GCCGGAUAGCUCAACUGGUAGAGCACUCGGCGCGAUACCGACAUGGUCUGGGUUCGAUUCCCAGUUCGGGCU
rfam:Microplitis demolitor bracovirus segment O, complete sequence.